rnacentral:rRNA from 1 species
AUAAGUUAUGUAAGGGCGUAUGGGGGAUGCCUAGGCUCUCAGAGGCGAAGAAGGACGUGAUAAGCUGCGAAAAGUUGCGGGAAUUGGCACAUACGAAUUGAUCCGCAAAUAUCCGAAUGGGGCAACCCAGUAUACUGAAGGUAUACUACAUCGCAAGAUGAGCAAACCCGCUGAACUGAAACAUCUAAGUAGGCGGAGGAGAAGAAAACAAAAGUGAUUCCCAGAGUAGUGGCGAGCGAAAUGGGAGGAGCCCAAACCUGUAUUGUUUCGGCAAUGCAGGGGUUGUAGGACUGCGAUAUUUGCUGUUUAUCGAAUUAGAACACCUUGGAAAAGUGUGACCAUAGAGGGUGAUAGUCCCGUAUAGGUAAGAUAAAUAAGUGAUAGCAGUAUCCUGAGUAGGGCGGGGCACGUGGAACCCUGUCUGAAACUGCCAGGACCAUCUGGUAAGGCUAAAUACUCCUGAGAGACCGAUAGUGGACUAGUACCGUGAGGGAAAGGUGAAAAGCACCGUGAAUAACGGAGUGAAAGAGACCCUGAAACCAUACGCUUACAAGCGGUCGGAGCGGAGAGAUCCGUGACGGCGUGCCUUUUGCAUAAUGAGCCUACGAGUUACUGUUACUGGCAAGGAUAAGCACUUAAGGUGCGCAUUCGAAGCGAAAGCGAGUCUGAAUAGGGCGCUUAAGUCAGUAGGAGUAGACGCGAAACCUGGUGAUCUACCCUUGGGCAGGUUGAAGCACUGGUAACACAGUGUGGAGGACCGAACUGGUUGUCGUUGAAAAGACUUCGGAUGACCUGAGGGUAGGGGUGAAAGGCCAAUCAAACUGGGAAAUAGCUCGUACUCCCCGAAAUGCAUUUAGGUGCAGCGUUGUAAUAAAGUUUAAUAGAGGUAGAGCUACUGAUUGGAUGCGGGGGUUUCACCGCCUACCAAUUCCUGACAAACUCCGAAUGCUAUUAAAUGUUUUACAGCAGUGAGGGCUUGGGUGCUAAGGUCCAAGUCCGAGAGGGAAAGAACCCGGACCAUCAGCUAAGGUCCCCAAAUAUAUGCUAAGUUGAAAAAACGCGGUUGAACUGCAUGGACAGCUAGGAUGUUGGCUUGGAAGCAGCCAUACAUUUAAAGAGUGCGUAACAGCUCACUAGUCGAGCGGUUCGGCAUGGAGAAUAAACGGGCAUAAGCAUAUUACCGAAGCUAUGGGGUAGAGAUACCGGUAGGGGAGCAUUCUAUAGGCGUUGAAGCUAAAGGCGUGAGCCAUAGUGGAGCUUGAUAGAAAAGAAAAUGUAGGCAUAAGUAACGAUAAGGCAGGUGAGAAACCUGCCCGCCGAAAGAUCAAGGUUUCCUCAGCUAUGCUAAUCAGCUGAGGGUUAGUCGGGGACUAACGCGUACCCUUUCAGGGGAAGUGGAUGUACAACUGGUUAAUAUUCCAGUACUAGUAUUUCAAUAAAAGCGACGGAAUGAGAUAUACGCUGCGCACAGACGGAGUUGCGUUGAAGGAGUUGUUAUGGCUUUGAUAGUACACUUAGGCUACGGUCGAGGUGAUAAUGCGUAGACAACGUUUCCAAGAAAAGCGAGAGAUACUACCCGUACCGUAAACCGACACAGGUGAUUGGGAAGAGAAUUCUAAGGCGCUCGAGAGAUUCAUGGCUAAGGAACUAGGCAAAAUAGACCUGUAACUUCGGGAGAAAGGUCGCCUAUCUAGCGAUAGGCCGCAGUGAAAAGGUCCAAGCGACUGUUUAUCAAAAACACAGGACUCUGCAAAAUCGAAAGAUGAAGUAUAGGGUCUGACACCUGCCCGGUGCUGGAAGGUUAAGAGGAGAGCUUAGCGUAAGCGAAGGUUUGAAUUGAAGCCCCAGUAAACGGCGGCCGUAACUAUAACGGUCCUAAGGUAGCGAAAUUCCUUGUCGGGUAAGUUCCGACCUGCACGAAUGGUGUAACGAUUUGGACACUGUCUCGGCCAUGAGCUCGGUGAAAUUGUAGUAUCGGUGAAGAUGCCGAUUACCCGCAGUGGGACGAAAAGACCCUGUGCACCUUUACUAUAUCUUCGUAUUGACCUUGGAUAAGUGAUGCGUAGGAUAGGUGGGAGACAUUGAUUGGGGCAUUCCGGUGCUUCAGGAGUCGUUGUUGAAAUACCACCCUUUGCUUAUCUGAGGCCUAACUCUCCUGUAGGGAGAGGACAAUUCGUGGAGGGUAGUUUGACUGGGGUGGUCGCCUCCAAAAGAGUAACGGAGGCUUCUAAAGGUUCCCUCAGCACGCUUGGUAACCGUGCGUAGAGUG